rnacentral:ncRNA from 1 species
CGCGGCGGCCCCUCGCGGCCGCCCCGGACGAGGUGCGUCGUACCCGGCACGACAAGACGACGCGGU